UACGGAGGGUGCGAGCGUUGUCCGGAAUCAUUGGGCGUAAAGGGCGCGUAGGUGGCGCGGUCAGUUCGUGGUGAAAGCGCGGGGCUCAACCCCGCGUCGGCCAUGAAUACUGCUGGGCUGGAGCACUGUAGAGGCAGGCGGAAUUCCGGGUGUAGCGGUGGAAUGCGUAGAGAUCCGGAAGAACACCGGUGGCGAGGCGGCCUGCUGGGCAGUGCUGACACUGAGGCGCGACAGCGUGGGGAGCAAACAGG
rnacentral:rRNA from 1 species